rnacentral:rRNA from 1 species
UCCUGAGCAACGAUCGUCGUCUCAGGGUAAGUCGGGACCUAAGCCGAGGCGGAAAAGCGUAGGCGAUGGACAACAGGUUGAAAUUCCUGUACCGGUGUGAAUCGUUUGAUCGAUGGAGUGACACAGUAAGGUAGGUCAGCACGCGAUUGGAAGAGCGUGUUUAAGCAGGUAGGUUGAGCUAUAGGCAAAUCCGUAGCUCUAAAAGCUGAGAUGUGAUGACGAGCGACUAGCAAUAGUCGCGAAGUGAUUGAUCCUACACUGUCGAGAAAAGCUUCUAGGUAGAGACACAUCGCCCGUACCAAAACCGACACAGGUAGGCGGGGAGAGAAUCCUAAGGUGCGCGGGAAAACCCUCGUUAAGGAACUCGGCAAAAUGCCUCCGUAACUUCGGGAAAAGGAGGACUCAUGUAGUGUGAAGAGCAGAAGCGCUUGGAGCAUGAAUGAGUGGCACAAGAGAGGCGCAAGCGACUGUUUACCACAAACACAGGUGCCUGCUAAAGCGAAAGCUGAUGUAUAGGUGCUGACACCUGCCCGGUGCUGGAAGGUUAAGAGGAGGGGUUAGACUUCGGUCGAAGCUCUGAAUUGAAGCCCCAGUAAACGGCGGCCGUAACUAUAACGGUCCUAAGGUAGCGAAAUUCCUUGUCGGGUAAGUUCCGACCCGCACGAAAGGUGUAACGACUUGCGCACUGUCUCAACGAGGGACCCGGUGAAAUUGAAGUACCUGUGAAGAUGCAGGUUACCCGCGACUGGACAGAAAGACCCCAUGGAGCUUUACUGCAACCUAAGAUUGAACUUAGUUAAUGAAUGUACAGGAUAGGUGGGAGACGUAGAACCUAGGACGCUAGUUUUAGGGGAGUCGCUGUUGGGAUACCACCCUUUCAUUAAUUGAUUUCUAACGGGCCGAGUAACGACCGGCCGGACAGUCUUAGGCGGGCAGUUUGACUGGGGCGGUCGCCUCCAAAAGAGUAACGGAGGCGCCCAAAGGUUCCCUCAGAGCGGACGGAAAUCGCUCGAAGAGUGUAAAGGCAGAAGGGAGCUUGACUGCGAGACGGACAGGUCGAGCAGGGACGAAAGUCGGGCUUAGUGAUCCGGUGGUGCCGAGUGGAAGGGCCAUCGCUCAACGGAUAAAAGCUACCCUGGGGAUAACAGGCUAAUCUCUCCCAAGAGUCCAUAUCGACGGGGAGGUUUGGCACCUCGAUGUCGGCUCAUCACAUCCUGGGGCUGAAGUAGGUCCCAAGGGUUCGGCUGUUCGCCGAUUAAAGUGGUACGUGAGCUGGGUUCAGAACGUCGUGAGACAGUUCGGUCCCUAUCCAUCGCGGGCGUAAGAAACUUGAAGGGGGCUGCUCCUAGUACGAGAGGACCGGAGUGGACGAACCGCUGGUGUACCAAUUAUCCUGCCAAGGGUACAGUUGGGUAGCUACGUUCGGGACGGAUAAACGCUGAAAGCAUCUAAGCGUGAAACCAGCCUUGAGAUGAGGUUUCUCAUAGCGUAAGCUAGUAAGAUCCCAUGUAGACGACAUGGUAGAUAGGCCAGGUGUGGAAGAGCCGUGAGGUUUGGAGCUGACUGGUACUAAUCGAUCGAGGGCUUUACUUA